CCCGGCCCCCGGCCGCCACGGAUCUGCCUUCCGUGUCUGUGGCUUCGCCGAUUCUGGCCAUUUCCUGUGAGUGGAGUCCCACAGCAUUUGUCCUUCUGGGUCUGGCUCCCUUCGCUCAGCAUGGGGUCCAUCCCCGUGGUCUCAUAUACAAGACAUUCGCUCCUGUCUGUGGCUGAGUACUGUGUGUCCCGUGGGUGGACCACAUGUUCUGCCUCCACUGGUCGCGGGUGCACACCGGGCUGUUUCCACCUUUGGCUCUGUGAGCGCCUUAUUUUCAGGUGUGUCUGCUAGAGAACCGCCAAGUGCCUCUGUGCACGCACCACGCUUCAGUCGGAUCAGCGCAACCCCGGACGGCAGCGGGGAGGUCAGUGGCCUCUCUGCUCCAAGAUCCCGGGGAGGCCUGCCAGGUGGGGCCGGGCACACGCCCACUGGAGCCCGGUCUGUGCGCCUCACUCACAGCUGUUCCUCCAGCACCCAGGGCAGGGCGCCCAGCACAGAGCACCCAGUUCAGGGUACUGAGUGCAGAGUACCCAUCUAAGGGCACCCAGCUCAGGGUACCCAGUUCAGAGUAUCCAGCUCAGGGCACCAAGCCGAGCUGCACUCAGCACCGAGCACCCAGCACAGAGCACCUAUCUCAGGGCACCCAGCUCAGACUACUCAGCGCAGUGCACCCAACUCAGGGCACCCAGCACAGAGUACCUAUCUCAGGACACCCAGCACAAGUACCUAUCUCAGGGCACCCAGCACAGGGCACCCAGCUCAGACUACCCAGCACAGAUCACCCAGCUCAGCCCCUAGCUGAUGGAUGCUUGGCAAACACAUACACUGGAAAAGGGAAGGAAGGAAGGGAGGGAGGGAGGAAGGCAGGCAGGCACACAGUGUGGUCUGGGGAAAGGGAGGCAGGAAAACCCACGGGGACAGGACAGUGGGGCAGGAGAGCAGGGGGCCCCAGAAGGAGAAGCGAAUCCUGGACCCCGUGCCCUGCGGUCUGAGUGGUCCAGGUGGCAACUCAGCAAAAAGUGAAGCUGUGUGUGUUUGUGUGUGCGUGUGUGUGCAUGUGUGUUAACGGAAACAAACACUUGGCCUUUGCCUCGGGUUCCUGGCGCAGGGCCCCCGACACCCUCGGAAUUUCCUGAGCGGCCAGAGUGGGUUUGGUGGGCAGAUGUGAUGACUCAGGGUCGGGGUGGAGGAACAGAGACACCCUCAGGAUGGGGGCUGAUCACGGAAAACCCACCUCGUGCUUUGGGGUGAGACCUUGAGCGCCCCCUCUCCACCCCCGAGCUCAGGGAGGGCGAGGGGCCCGAGAGCGAGCGCCACCACCUGUGGCUAAGGAUGGCCGAUCACGCCUCCGGGCAAGAAACUGCGACACAAAUCCCCAAAUGACGGGGCUCGCGGCUUCCAGCUUGGCCAACACACCAUGUGCCACAAGGGUAGCACGCCCCAACUCCAGGGGACAGAGCCCCCCGUGUUCGGGACCCUUCUAGACGCUGCCCUACGUCCCUCACCACCCGGCUGUUCACCUGGAUCUUUUCUGAGAAACUGUAGGAGUGAGGAUGGCACUUCUCCCGGGUCUCUGAGUCCUUCUAGCAAAUCAUCGAAGCUGAAGUCGGGUGUGGGACCCCCGAAUUUGUGGCCGGCCGGGCAGAAGCACAGGCAGCCUGGGGACCCCUUCAUGGCUGGUGGCUGAAGUCGGGGACAGUCUCGUGGGACGGAGCCCUCGACCCGUGGGGUCUGCGCCAACUCCGUGAGUCAGACCUGAACUGAACUGUGGACACCAGGGGGGUGGGAGGCUCAGCGAGUGGGGUCGCUGGGCUCCUCCGGGCUUUCGUCACGGGGGACGGGCUGACAGCAGGAUGCUUUUCUUCCUGGCGAUAGAUCCAGGGGAUGGCCUUGCUUCCGAGGGGUGGGGUGUUUCUGGGGGGCUACACGGGGCUGUCGCAAGGAGAGCUGAGAGGAUGCAGGCUGAGAGCCCGGCCCCCCAGUGGGGUCAGAGGAGGAAGCCCCCCGUAGUGUUAGCAGGUAACAGGCAGCACCUCAAGGCCCCUGAAUGUCCCGUGAACGGGUGGGCACUUGACUCUGUGGGCGAGAGGCUGCCAGCUCAGCCCCUUUCAGGGGCCAGACCAGCAACAGAAACGGGCAAAGCGAGCAGCGUGUAGCUAUAACCCAUGGCCUCCUCAGCCAAUAGUUACCUUCCCCGCUUUUGAAGGCGACAGGGGCAAAGCUGGACAUUUCCGUUCCGUAAGAAAAUCGGCAGCACAAGGAUGACAACAUGAGCAUGAAUCCACAGCCUUCUGUCGGGGAGACAGACAACAGGGAGUGGUGGGGUCUGUGGCAAAGUGGAGCAAGGCCGCAUCUCAAGGGCAUCUCUGGCAGCUGCCCUUCCAGGACGUGGCAACAGCGUGUCCAGCAACUCGCCAUCUGUGAGUUUCUACAGGAGGUCUUUCUGUUGGGCAAACUGGCAGGGCCGAGGCAUUAAUACCCCAGGUGCAGCUCCACCAACGCCAGACAGAAGCUGGAGGGAGACACCCAGCUCUCUCGCACACAGGGCGUGUUCUGCGUGAGUCUGGUGCGCGGGUCCCUUCCCUUCCCGGCCUCUCUUCCCAUCCCCCACGGGUGCUUCCUGGAUCCCCCCGCCUCCUAAAUGACUGGCCACGAGAUGCGGGUCCCAGAGCCUGCUUCUGGGGGCCCCAACCAAAGAGAAGGGACCAGUGGCACCUGGUUUUUGCCGGGUGGGCAGGCAGGCCCAGCAUUGCGAGAACUUCCAGUUUUUGCAAAGAAACCAGCAUCCAUGGUUUCCUGUGAAACCUUCAGAGGUUGCAUGGCCAGCUCCAACUAAACACAGCAAAGCAAAAUAAAACGGAACACCACCAACCACGUCUGCGGGCGCUUUGGGCCUCGGCCCGCCUGCAGCGCAAAGCUGCAGGGGGCGCGCAGGAGGGGCUCCAGCAACCCACCGCGGCGGCCUGGGUGGGGACGGCGAGCAAGGCCCCAGGGGGGCCAUGCAGCCUGGCCUGUUUAGGGGACCCAGCUGGAAGCAUCUGGAAGGCUCAGCUCGGGCGGCCGUGGCCCCAGAGUAAACAAGCAACAGGAUCCUUUUGCCAACACGCAGACCCCGAGCCGUGGUGACCCCUGGGCUCCAGGAGGGAGACCCCCGAGGACCCCUCCAGCGCGACAGCCGAGCUCAGGCCGGAGCCCCCAGGAGGAGGCAGCCCACAAGAGCCGGGUCCAGACUCCACACUCGGGAACUCCUGUUAAUUCUGUGCAGAUGGAGCAAACGCUUUACAGAUUCCAGCCCCCACCCCGCCCCCUGCUCUCCUCUUGCAGGGGAACCAAAAAGGGCGUCUCGGGAUUGUCUUGGCACCAUUUCCCGUGGUUAUUUAAAGCUUUUCUGCCGCCUUUUCAGGAUUUAAAUUAAGAAUACGGGUGUCAAGAGUACAGGCGGAUGAUGUCAAAUUUUCAGUGUGUGCUGGUCUACAGGCAGCCAAACCCGUCCAGGCCUGUUCGAAAUCAUUUAAUACAUUUCGUAGAUUUUAAGCUGGGACUAUUUUCGCUCGGGGGUGGGGGAGGAGAAUGGAAACUCCUGAGAGCUGACCUUUCAUGUGCCCCCCCAGAAGCCACAUAUUUCAUAUACUGUUAGCUCAUUUAAUCCUCAUCAUGACCCAAAUAGCUAUAAAGCUUUGUCUCCUUAAGAUAUCUUUUUAGAAACCUACAUCAAAGGGAAUUUGUUGGCUUACAUAACUGGAAAGUCUGUGGUGAGGACUUCAGGCAUGGCUGGAUCCAGGAGCUCAAAUGCUGUCAUCAGGAAUCUCUAUUCCUCUCUUGGCUCUGCUCUGCUCUGUGACUGUUUCACCCUCGGGCAGGCCCUUCUCUUACAGUGGCAAAGACAGUCCCCAGUAGAAGCUCCAGGCUUCCAAACAGUCAAGCAACCCCAAUUGAAAAAGAACAGCUCUUUCCCAGAGGUGUCGGCAGAAGUCCCGUGCCUGAGUUCCACGGGCCCAGCUUGGGUCAGGUGCCAUCAUCGGACCGAUCGCUCUGGUUAGGGUGAUAGACUUUUCUGAUCACACGCCCACCCCUGGAGGAGGAGAGGGUCAGCCCCACUAAAAUACCGGUGGCGACGGGGAGUCACUGUCCCCAGAAAGGGUGCUGGACACUGGGCGCUCAAAAGUAACAGACGCCUGCCCCAGCGAGGCGUGUGAGAAGAAGAGAGGAACCCCGUGACAUCAGCAGGGCUGUCGCGACCGUGGUGCAGGUUGCGCACUGCACAUCUCUAGGGGGCUCCAGUUACAUCCCCUGCCGUCGUACAUUUACUUCCACGUGCAUCGUAACAGAUUUCCAACAAUGGCAGUUAAGCGUCUUAUGAUCGAAAAAAUUAAUUGAAAACCGUGGCCACAGUAGGUGGCAGCUCUCUCCAUCCCCAGGUGGCAGCUGCUUCCUCUCUCCCAGAAGCUGGGCCACCCGUGACCUGCUGUGACCACAGAAUGCAGUGGGAGGGGCGCUGCAGGGGCCGAGCUGGGCCGCGGGAGGCCGGGUCGCCACUGUCCCCUCUCGGAAGGCUGUCCAGGCCAGCGCGGCAGGAGGCGCACGGACCAUGCGUGAGACCUGGGGGUGGAAGGGGGGGACUCCCCGGGGGUCAAUGGGUCAGAGGUGAUGACAGUGUCCCCGGGGAUAACCCCCUAAAUAAACUGCCUGCACCCACAUCCUCGCCUCCGAGGCUGCUUCUGGGGGAACCGAGGCUGAGACAGGCUUCUCAGGAGACCCCGAGUGCCCCUGUGCUGUGGGCUGAAGGAACCCAGGGACGGAGCUCUGAGCAGAAAGAGAUAAACCUUUUCUUAUAAUCUUUCAUUCAUUCAUUCAACAAACAGUCAACAGCCUCCGGCUACAUGCCAGCACCGGGGAUGGAAAGAGCCCAGAACCUGGCAUCAGCCCUGAGACAUGGGCAUGUCACCCGGCCUCUCAGACUUCAUUUAAUCCCCACAGUAGUCCUAUAAGAUAAGCAGGCGAUGUCAUGGUCCCCAUUUGUCAGAUAAGGAAACAGAGGCACAGAGAGGUUGAGUGACUUGCCCAAGGCCACACAGCUAGGCACUGGCAGAGCCAGGAUUGGAACCCAGUCAGAUCCUGUGUUCUUAGCCGUUUCCUCAGGAGUUCCGGCAUCUGGGCUGACUGAGGAAAGUCCCAGAAUUUAGGACUUGCUCCCGCAGAUGGUCUGAAUCUGUUCCAUAAUACUUGUAGGAAUGAUCUUAUUCUUUUACUUUUCUGAGUCUGAGGAAAUUGGGAUCGGAGCCCCCUUGCCAGGGGCCAGGCCUUUGCCACUCAAAAGCCGCCUCCCCAGAGAGUCCCCACAAGCCGCUCCCAGACAGCCUGGCUCCACCCCCUCAGACCCCAGGUGUCCACAGCAUCUCUCACCUCUGCUCCCAAAGCUUGCCUUCUCCCAGCCCCACCCCGGGCUCUGGGGGCUGAGUCAUCACCUGACUAAGGCGGGUUGUGGCGAUUGCUUCAGAAACCGGCCUGUGACCCUGGCUGGGUCGAUGAGACUCAGCCCUAGGACUCUUGCAGAAGCUGUUCCGCAAGAGGAAAUCUCCACUCGGCUGGUGCGAUAGAAGCCUGGGGCCAUGAGGCACCAUCUUUGCCAGCAGGUGGAGAGUGUCCACCUGAGAGUGAAGCCAACAGAAAGCAAACCAGGGCUGAGAGAUGGAGACAGAUCCCGGACAACACUGCCUGAGCCCCUGGAUCCAGCCGUGCCUGAAGCUGUAGCGCUCCUGACUUUCCAGCGACACAAAACAAUACGUUCUGCUUUGGCAUAAGCUAAUUCCAGCGGGAUUCUGUUAUUUGCAGUUGGAUGAGCCCUGCCUGAAGGACGAGGCUUUAAACAACCAGGGCCUGUUGAUUCUCCAGGGGCCCACGGCAAACACAGCCCUUCAGAACACAAAAACACAGCUGCUCUUUGAAAGAGACGGAGGGAGGGGAAAAUACUUUGCAUUCUCUUGCGAUGAAUCAGGAGCCAAAAUAAGACCUGGUUCAUUUCUCAAGCGGGUUAUCCUGCCCAACCGCUAUUACUCAUCCCAGCCCCGACCAGCCCGAGGUUGGCGUGGCCCUGGCCCAGGGAGCCUGCCGUGCUCAGAGCCUCCCCAGAUUUUCCACGCUCGUGUGAAAAGCGUGUGCGUCGUGGCUCCUUCUCCUCCGGCUCAUCCUCCUGGGAGCUGGGCUGUCUGGAGCUCCAGGGUCCAGCCAAGUCAACCCCUAACAAAACGCAGGGAUGCACAGGGAGCCUCUGGAAACCUCGCCCCUGCAGAGAGGUCCAGAGAAGCUGGCCUGGCCGCUUCUUACUGAGCAGCGGGCUAGCACAGGACCUCAGCAUCAAGGAGGGGUCAGCCGGGGAUAGAUGAGGAAAGGCUUCAAAGGUUGGGCCGAGGAGCUACAAGAAAAUUACAAUGACACUCAUGGCUCACAUGAAUUAUCUUUCUGCUGGGGGAGACCGGCGUCAAGGAAGUGCCCGCUGUGAACAUUCUCAGAAGGUUACCGAGACGCGUGCGUUCUCCUUGUGCUUCUAAAGUUGCUCCUGUCCCGUCAGCGGCCGGCCCGGCGGGGAUGCGCCAGGCAGGGCGUAAUUGCUGCCCUCUGCUCACCUCCGGAGGCACACGCUGUUCCCAUUUUUCUUGCGAUCAGUACCUCUGAGACACACACUUUCGAACUAGCGCUGGAGAUAUCUGGAAAUAAAGUCAAAUCUUUGUAUAUGA